CCUACGGGUGGCAGCAGUCGAGAAUCAUUCACAAUGGGGGAAACCCUGAUGGUGCGACGCCGCGUGGGGGAAUGAAGGUCUUCGGAUUGUAAACCCCUGUCAUGUGGGAGCAAAUUAAAAAGAUAGUACCACAAGAGGAAUAGACGGCUAACUCUGUGCCAGCAGCCGCGGUAAUACAGAGGUCUCAAGCGUUGUUCGGAAUCACUGGGCGUAAAGCGUGCGUAGGCUGUUUCGUAAGGCGUGUGUGAAAGGUGCGGGCUCAACCCGCGGACGGCACAUGAUACUGGGAGACUAGAGUAAUGGAGGGGGAACCGGAAUUCUCGGUGUAGCAGUGAAAUGCGUAGAUAUCGAGAGGAACACUCGUGGCGAAGGCGGGUUCCUGGACAUUAACUGACGCUGAGGCACGAAGGCCAGGGGAGCGAAAGGGAUUAGAUACCCGAGUAGUC
rnacentral:rRNA from 1 species